GGCCGUACUUUGACCUGUGUUUGUUAUUAUCAGGUUGAGAACAACCCUCCCUCAGACAAGGGGUCAUUUUACUGAUGUAGAAAAGAAAAUAGAAAUACCAAGGAUUUGUAUAGUUCUUCUAUACAAAACUUUUGAAAACUUAGAAUUUUGUACUCAAAAAGAGGAAAGUUACAUCAUAUGUUAAACAACUUUUUCUAAAAGAG
rnacentral:lncRNA from 1 species